rnacentral:rRNA from 1 species
GCGGCAGGCCUCAUACAUGCAAGUCGAGCGGUCCUUCGGGACAGCGGCGAACGGGUUAGUAACGCGUGGGAACGUGCCCUUUAGUACGGAAUAGCCAUUGGAAACGAUGAUUAAUACCGUAUACGCCCCAAGGGGGAAAGAUUUAUCGCUAAAGGAUCGGCCCGCGUUAGAUUAGGUAGUUGGUAGGGUAAUGGCCUACCAAGCCGACGAUCUAUAGCUGGUUUGAGAGGAUGAUCAGCAACACUGGGACUGAGACACGGCCCAGACUUCUACGGAAGGCAGCAGUAGGGAAUCUUGGACAAUGGGCGAAAGCCUGAUCCAGCCAUGCCGCGUGAGUGAUGAAGGCCCUAGGGUUGUAAAGCUCUUUCGCCAGGGAAGAUAAUGACGGUACC